GUUGAUGGAGCCGCGCCACAGCGGGUCGCCGGCGCGCGCCUGGCCGUCGGUGGCCAGCAGGGCGUGCGCCUC
rnacentral:antisense_RNA from 1 species